GUUCUUUUUAUAUUUCUGCUCCUGGGUUUAGGAGCAAUCUUUUACAUUGGAGCAAGUACUUCUCCAAUCAUUGUGUUUGUAUUUGCAAUUUGUAUCAUCAGCUUCCUUUUAUCAAUAUAUCUUACUAAGUGGGUACUAUCGAAGGAUGAAGGCCCUCCUGAAAUGGCUCAGGUAUCAGAUGCAAUACGCGAUGGAGCUGAAGGUUUCUUCAGGACUCAGUAUGGGACAAUCUCAAAGAUGGCAAUGUUGCUGGCCAUGGUGAUCCUCUGCAUAUAUUUGUUCCGUACUACAACUCCUCAACAAGAAUCUUCUGGCCUUGGGAGGUCAACAAUUGCAUAUAUCACUGUUGCUUCAUUCCUUUUGGGGGCUUUAUGUUCAGGUAUAGCAGGUUAUGUUGGGAUGUGGGUGUCAGUUCGUGCAAAUGUUAGAGUUUCUAGUGCUGCAAGACGGUCAGCUAGAGAUGCACUGCAGGUAGCUGUCCGUGCCGGUGGUUUCUCUGCCCUAGUGGUUGUUGGUAUGGCUGUAAUUGGUAUAGCCAUCCUUUAUGCUGCAUUUUAUGUUUGGUUGGGAGUGGAUUCUCCAGGUUCAAUGAAGGUUACUGAUUUGCCCCUUCUCCUUGUGGGAUAUGGUUUUGGAGCUUCCUUUGUUGCCCUUUUCGCUCAAUUGGGUGGUGGAAUAUACACAAAAGCAGCUGAUGUUGGGGCUGACCUUGUUGGGAAAGUAGAGCAGGGAAUCCCUGAAGAUGAUCCUAGAAAUCCUGCAGUGAUUGCAGAUUUGGUUGGAGACAAUGUGGGUGAUUGUGCUGCUCGAGGCGCUGAUCUUUUUGAAAGUAUUGCUGCUGAAAUAAUAAGUGCUAUGAUACUUGGAGGAACAAUGGCUCAACGUUGCAAAAUUGAGGAUCCUUCUGGCUUCAUCUUGUUUCCUCUUGUUAUUCAUUCUUUUGAC
rnacentral:misc_RNA from 1 species